rnacentral:lncRNA from 1 species
GUCCAAUACUCUGGGGUCCCUAUGAUCAGACCGCUGCUACAACCAAAACAGAUGCACUUGUCUCCAGCCUGACCUACCUUCUAUUAAGGGACCUGUGCCUACUCCUUUCCUCCUGGACCCCAUGCUGCUGCAGGUGGCUCUGCUGUUCUUAGCUCUGUUCACUGGGAAGUUUGAUGUCAUCACAAAGCCCAUUUUGUCUCUUCAACCUCCAUGGACCACUGUCUUCUCUAAGGAGAAAGUAAAAUUGACAUGUGAGCAACUGAAUCUCACAGGAUUAAGUGACAUCCUAUGGUACAGAAAUGGG